rnacentral:sRNA from 1 species
UUUAAAUGUUAAGACCAUCUCCUCAAUAAAAAUAAGGAAAGUUUCUAAAAAAAAAAUAUAUUAAUAUUUUAAUCAAAACAGAUAUAUUAAUUAUUAUUUAAUAGUUGAACUAAUUAUAUGAUGACACCUGUCCAAAUUGGAUGAAAAUAGUUUCUCAAAGUUUCUCUUCCGAGAAACUUAACUCUCCUUCUCUCCUACUUUUUCUCACCUCUCUCAUACUUUUUCUUUUUUAAUUAUUUUUUUUUUGUUGGGUAUCUCAUUGAGAUACUUCCAAUGGAGAUCAAGUUUAAAUAAAGAAAAGGGUCAAGAAACCUGUAAUUAAUUCAAAGUUUAUUCAAAGUAAAUAUUGUUUUCUAAAUGGGUGUAGUUAGAACAUACAGUAUAUAUAUACAUCACACUCUCAUUCUAUCUUUCUUCUCUUUACAUAAUUUCUUGAAAC